rnacentral:rRNA from 1 species
AAUUUUGGACAAUGGGGGAAACCCUGAUCCAGCCAUCCCGCGUGUAUGAUGAGGCCUUCGGGUUGUAAAGGACUUUUGGCCGGGAAGGAAAGGUAUCCCCUAAUACGGGGUACUUCUGACCGUAUCUUCAGAAUAAGCCACGGCUAACUACGUUCCCGCCGCCGCGGUAAUACGUAGGGUGCAAGCGUUAAUCGGAAUUACUGGGCGUAAAGCGUGUGUAGGCGGUUCGGAAAGAAAGAUGUGAAAUCCCAGGGCUCAACCUUGGAACUGCAUUUUUAACUGCCGAGCUAGAGUAUGUCAGAGGGGGGUAGAAUUCCACGUGUAGCAGUGAAAUGCGUAGAUAUGUGGAGGAAUACCGAUGGCGAAGGCAGCCCCCUGGGAUAAUACUGACGCUCAGACACGAAAGCGUGGGGAGCAAACAGG